rnacentral:lncRNA from 12 species
GACGUGUCAAAGCUGCCUCGGGGGAAUAUUUGAAGCAGGAGAAAAAUAUGCCCUGGGUAGUCUGUCAUUCCAACUGUGGCUUGGCUCUUGGAGCUCUGCACACCUCCUGCAUUCUUAGAGAUGCCUCAAUAAUCCAGCUCAAAGGUGACAUGCAAGUUGCAGCCAUCUCCAGAAUCCUGACUUCUCUGCAUGUGCCCUGCAGUUCCCUGCAUCUUUGUCUGAACAAGGCUGUGCUGUGCCUCGAUGUUCUGCACCUUGGAGGAACUGGGGAGAUUCUACCUUUGCUGCUUCCCUAACAGCUUGAACUUGCAGUAGGAAAGUUGGCUUGUGUUUGACUUACUCAGUGGAACUACUGGC